rnacentral:misc_RNA from 1 species
UUUCCGUAGGUGAACCUGCGGAAGGAUCAUUAAUGAGUUGUCAUGGGGUUCGAUGCUGGCAGCCAAUUUUUGGAUGCAUGUGCUUGCCCUAACAAUCAUCUUCCAAACACCUGUGCACAUUGUUGAGGGAGUCUUGAGUUGGUUGCCGCUCUUGGGUGAUUUUCUCACAUUCCCUUAAAUCAUUAUACGCUAUUAACAAUGUUGAACGUGCUCUGUGCCGCAAGGCUAUUAAUAUAAUACAACUUUUAACAACGGAUCUCUUGGCUCUC